rnacentral:rRNA from 1 species
CAGUAGCCGCGGUAAUACGUAGGUGGCAAGCGUUGUCCGGAAUUAUUGGGCGUAAAGGGCUCGCAGGCGGUUUCUUAAGUCUGAUGUGAAAGCCCCCGGCUCAACCGGGGAGGGUCGUUGGAAACUGGGAAACUUGAGUGCAGAAGAGGAGAGUGGAAUUCCACGUGUAGCGGUGAAAUGCGUAGAGAUGUGGAGGAACACCAGUGGCGAAGGCGACUCUCUGGUCUGUAACUGACGCUGAGGAGCGAAAGCGUGGGGAGCGAACAGGAUUAGAUACCCCGGUAGUCCCUGUCUCUUAUAC